rnacentral:misc_RNA from 1 species
GGAAACGCUUUCCAUUCCAACCGCCGCUAUGCCGCUGUCCGGCGACGGAGCUGAUGUCUCUGCCGGUGGACGAUGUACGUGCUCUUCCCUCGAUGAGGAAAGCCUAAUCCAGAACUGCCAGCAUUGCCGGCGAUCGACUCUCCCUUCCUCUUCGUCAUCUUGCUCUUUGCUUAGCCUCGAAUCUUAUCCGGUUCAGGAUUACGACAAGCUUUGGAGAAUAUUUAGUGCUUCCGUUAAAGGAUUCACUAUUGGCGCUGGUCUAAAAGGUGGCCUCGCCAUCUUUGCUGUUCUCUCUCGGCUACGACGUAGGAAAUCGAUGUCCUCUGCGAAGAAAGGGCAAAUGGUCUCGAGCAGGGAUGAUGUAGUUUUGGCACUAAAGGAAACUCUAAGAUAUGGUCUGUUCCUUGGCACUUUCUCUGGUACAUUUGUAUCAGUUGAUGAAAUUGUGUCCGCUUGGGGAGGUCAUCGAAGGACAGCUAAGUGGAGAGCAUUGCUAGCGGGUGCAAUUGCAGGGCCAUCGUUGCUUCUUACUGGUAAUACACAGCACACGAGCUUGGCGGUUUACAUUCUUGUGCGUGCGGCUGUGUUGGCAUCCCGUUGUGGAAUAAAAAGUAAGCGGUUUGGGCGCAUAUGCAAGCCUUUAACUUGGGCUCAUGGAGACAUUUUCCUUAUGUGUCUAUCCUCUUCACAGAUCCUGUCAGCUUACAUAUUGAAGCAA